CUCAUCUUCCAGCAAUGGCGAUUGUGUAGGUGCUGCAUGGUUGUCGUCAGCUCGUGCCGUGAGGUGUCGGCUUAAGUGCCAUAACGAGCGCAACCCUUAUCGUUAGUUGCCAGCGGGUGAUGCCGGGAACUCUAGCGAGACUGCCACCGUAAGGUGUGAGGAAGGUGGGGAUGACGUCAAAUCAGCACGGCCCUUUACGUCCGGGGCUACGACACGUGUUACAAUGGCCGGUACAGAGGGCAGCUACCUGGUGACAGGAUGCUAAUCUCGAAAACCGGUCUCAGUUCGGAUCGAAGUCUGCAACUCGACUUCGUGAAGCUGGAUUCGCUAGUAAUCGCGCAUCAGCCAUGGCGCGGUGAAUACGUUCCCGGGCCUU
rnacentral:rRNA from 1 species